rnacentral:tRNA from 1 species
GGAGAGGUCGCAUAGUUGGUCUAUUGCGGCACACUGCUAAUGUGCUAUAUGGGUAAAACCGUAUCGUGGGUUCGAAUCCCACCCUCUCCG